rnacentral:rRNA from 1 species
CCUAGGGUGGCAGCAGUGAGGAAUAUUGGUCAAUGGUCGGAAGGCUGAACCAGCCAUGCCGCGUGAAGGUCAGUGCCCUAUGGGCGUUAAACUUCUUUUGUGCGGGAGCAAUAAUGGUCACGUGUGGCCAGACGAGAGUACCGUACGAAUAAGCAUCGGCUAACUCCGUGCCAGCAGCCGCGGUAAUACGGGGGAUGCAAGCGUUAUCCGGAUUUAUUGGGUUUAAAGGGUGCGUAGGCUGUGAGGUAAGUCAGCGGUGAAAUGCCCCCGCUCAACGGGGUGAAGUGCCAUUGAUACUGCCUUGCUGGAAUGCGGAUGCCGUGGGAGGAAUGUGUGGUGUAGCGGUGAAAUGCAUAGAUAUCACGCAGAACCCCGAUUGCGAAGGCAGCCUGCCAAGCCAUGACUGACGCUGAUGCACGAAAGCGUGGGGAUCAAACAGGAUUAGAUACCCCAGUAGUC